GGCCGGGUGGCCUAAUGGUAAGGCGUUUGAUUUCGGUGGAAUAUUCCGCAAGGGAGAAGACCUCAAAUCUCAAAAGAUUGCGUGUUCGAGUCGCGCCUCGGUCG
rnacentral:tRNA from 1 species